UAGAUACAGCUCGGAUAUCCUCUGCCUUCAAUUUUUUAAAGUUAAUAGUAUGAUGGGAGAUGGCGAUAGAAUAGGCGAUCUAGGGUUUCACGCUCUUGAUGCCUUCUCACCGAUGGGAUCCAGGAAUUGACGGCGGGGUUGUGUUAGGAAAGAGGAAUCAUAAAGGGCGGAGUAAAAGAAUUUCAUUCAGGGGAUUUUCUUCAAAUCUCCGAUGUUGUGGAUCGGGUACAGGAAAUUGGUUUAAACGGAUUUUUUGGAAAUCAAGGACAUCUGCGAAAUGGAUCUCGAUAUUGGCAAUUAUACCGGUGAAUUCGCAUGAUUACUCAGAUAUGGAGAUUGGUGAUUUGCGGUGGCUUAACAGGGACUGGGGGCUUGGAGUGGUUAACAGGGAAAUGGGUUCUCUGGUUGGUCUCAUUAAACCAACCACAGAAAACAGAGUUAAUCAUAGAAACGGACCUUAAGGGGAAUCACAUUUUGGCUGGAGCUGAUGUAAGGAGGCUUAUCUGGCACGUCGAGGAGUUCGGCGUUUUUUCUAGAAUUGCAUCACUGCUGCUCGUUUAUCUUAAAAAUACAAAUUCAAGGAGCCAAGGAUCUUUGGAAGGGAUAUGUGGCGUGGAAAGGAGAGAGAGCUCACGUUUUUUUAUUCUAGUUUUGUUAGCAAAUGAUCGUUGGUGAUAUUGGGUUGAGUAUGUUUAUGUUUUCGGGGUAUUGGAGUUAUAAAGGAGACGCUUUCAUUUUUCUUGUGUGUAUGUUACCGUUUUAUAUAGAUUGGGGCAAGGAGAUGGAUGUAUUUUUCAGGGUCUUUGUU